rnacentral:lncRNA from 1 species
CUCAGACAUUAGCUUACACCCUGGAGCAUAGGACAUAAAGGACUUUUGUCUCUUUAUUGUGAACUGCCACCAUCCCUAUCCUAGAGCCAUGGAACCUGUCGGACAUUCAUUUAUCAAUGGCAUGUGCACCAUAUGUAUGCAGUGCCUUCAGAAGUCAAAAGAAGGCAUUAGAUUCCCUAGAACUGGAGCUAUGGAUGGCUGUGAGCCACCAUGGAGGGGUUGGGCACUGAACCAGGAACUCUACAAAAGCAGCCAAUGCUCUUACCUGCUGAGC